UCUCUGUCUAGUACCCUUGUUUCUUGUAUCUGUUCAUCUGGAGUCUUUGUUUCCCCUUUAUCUUGCCUUUCGGUGGAUUUUCCUGCUCAUCAUUGGACUUGUGUGUAUGUUUUGGACUGCUUACCUGCUGAGUAUUGCUUUGCCUGCCAAUUCAGUUGAAGUGAUGGCAGUGAUGUUUCUCCCAAAGCAAGCAAAUUUGCACCAGGCCCACAAUCCACUCCUACCAAGAUGCAACACAGAGCAGAUCAAGAACUAUCUGAAUCAACUGGGCCUAGUCUCUCCUCUAGCUUGACACUACUUCGUUUAAGUCCACCACGCACCAAGCCAUCAUUAUUUGGGCAUUCCUUGCACUGCUUCCUAUUUGGGCAUAAUCACGGGAACGCUUUGCAGUGCUGACACAUUUUUCAGAACAACUGAAUUGUAACCAUUCACCUCUUACAUUACUGGAGUGACACUCAGUGUAUAAUAUUUUGUGAACAAGGUUUGCCACCGCAUCAACCACUUUCUUUCUCCAUACAGCCAGUGAAGAUGUAUCACGAACUCAACAGGAAGGUGCAGCAGGACCUGAAGUGAGCAACCUGAACAUGAGCUUCGAGAAGAUGGAUAUUGUGGAUCCCUUAGACAUCAGUUUUGCACCACCUUGCCUUCCAGCCCAAGAUUGGCUUCUGGCUCUGGAUGCUCCCAUGGAGAUACUCCAGGAGGAUGGGCUGCAAAUACAAGUGGCUGGUGAACGAAUCAAAGCUUAUGGAACUUUUUAAAACAUGCAGCAAAUGUGGCUGUGGCAUAGAAAAAGUUGAAAGAAAGUCCAGCCAAAUUAAAAUCAGUGGACCUGCCUAAAUGGACACGCAAAAGUUGGCAUCAUGUCCUGAUUGAAGAGGGAUGACUGGAAACAAUCUUCUGAUAUGUGCAGCUACAGAUAUUACUGGACCAACACACACAGACAUAGCAGACUGGGCAGAACUAUGUACAAAUUCCAAAGCAAACCCAGUUUUGUCAUUCAGUGGACCUCAUACCAGUUAUUCAAUAUGCAUACAGAGAUCAACAUCAGAAUCAUGGAGCGCCUCACUCAGGAAAUGGCAUCUAAAAAGAAAAUUGAACUCUGUGGUGAUGCCAGAUGUGAUAGUCCUGGUAAGCAUUUUACUUGUUCAUUGAAAUGUAAAUGUUUAUUUUCAUUUUACUGUGAAACAGUAUUGUUACAGUAUUCCUACUGGACGAGCCGCCACAGGAGCACAGGAAACUCUAGCGUUGCAGCCAUGAUGUCAUCAAGCCUAUAAACUCAGAGCGUG